CCUGCCCAGUGAACUAAUUUAACGGCCGCGGUAUCUUGACCGUGCAAAGGUAGCAUAAUCAAUUGUUCUUUAAAUAAGGACUAGUAUGAACGGCACCACGAGGGUUUAACUGUCUCCCUAUUUUAAUCAAUGAAAUUGAUCUCCCCGUGAAGAAGCGGGGAUACAACUAUAAGACGAAAAGACCCCAUGGAGCUUUAAACUUAUUUUCAAUUACCAAAGCCCAAAACAUAUACCCGGUAAAAAUGAUAAUCGUUUUCGGUUGGGGCGACCCUGGAGAAAAAUAAAUCCUCCAAGCUGAAUAGACUAAAAAAAUCUAAUAUUAGAGCAACAACUCAAAUAAUCAAAACCUUGACAAAAUGACCCAGAAUUCAUCUGAUCAACGAACCAAGUUACCCUGGGGAUAACAGCGCAAUCCAUUUCAAGAGCCCUUAUCGACAAAUGGGUUUACGACCUCGAUGUUGGAUCGGGAUAUCCUAGCAG
rnacentral:rRNA from 1 species